CAUGCAAGUCGAACGCAGUAGCAAUACUGAGUGGCAAACGGGUGAGUAUAAUGUGGGAAUCUGCCUUUUGGUUUGGAAUAACACGGGGAAACUUGUGCUAAUACCGAAUAAGCCCUUACGGGGAAAGUUUUAAUGCCGAAAGAUGAGCCCGCACUUGAUUAGCUAGUUGGUAAGGUAAAAGCUUACCAAGGCUACGAUCAAUAGCUGUUCUUAGAGGAAGACCAGCCACAUUGGGACUGAGACACGGCCCAGACUCCUACGGGAGGCAGCAGUGGGGAAUCUUGCACAAUGGGGGAAACCCUGAUGCAGCGAUGCCGCGUGAGUGAAGAAGGCCUUUGGGUUGUAAAACUCUUUCGUCGGGGAAGAAAAUGACUGUACCCGAAUAAGAAGGUCCGGCUAACUUCGUGCCAGCAGCCGCGGUAAUACGAAGGGACCUAGCGUAGUUCGGAAUUACUGGGCUUAAAGAGCUCGUAGGUGGUUAAAAAAGUUGAUGGUGAAAUCCCAAGGCUCAACCUUGGAACUGCCAUCAAAACUUUUUAGCUAGAGUGUGAUAGAGGUAAGUGGAAUUUCUAGUGUAGAGGUGAAAUUCGUAGAUAUUAGAAAGAACACCAAAUGCGAAGGCAACUUACUGGGUCACUACUGACACUGAGGAGCGAAAGCAUGGGUAGCGAAGAGGAUUAGAUACCCUCGUAGUCCAUGCCGUAAACGAUGUGUGCUAGACGUUGGAAAUAUAUUUUUCAGUGUCGCAGCGAAAGCGUUAAGCACACCGCCUGGGGAGUACGACCGCAAGGUUAAAACUCAAAU
rnacentral:rRNA from 1 species